CAUCCCUGGCAGUAGAGUAGGUGGGGAAACUGCAGGAGAAAUUUGUAAACAUUAGGUCACGUGUUGACUUGGCCGCGUCAACAGCGAGUGGACUAGCCGCAACGCGACGUUUUGGGGAAUACAUUUCCGUUGAUAUUCUAUUAUCGGAUAAAGGGACCAGACACACCAUUUGCCACGUAGCCUGAGACAAGAUAUUUCAAAAAGAUAGAAUAUGAGUGCUGAGCAAGAAGAACCAGCACAGCAUUAUGAAAGCACAGAGAACUCUGCUCGCCCUCCAUGGCCACCCACUCCUGCUAGCAAUACCAAUAGCAGUACUACUCUAACAGAACAAACUUCUCUCACCCCCAAUGAAGAGUAUUUUGACACAUAUUUUGCUGAUGAAAGAAUCCAGAUUCCUGAAUCUGAAAAUAAACUUUUCAGCUUCCGAAAAUUAUGGGCAUUUACUGGCCCAGGUUUUCUGAUGAGCAUUGCCUACUUAGAUCCUGGAAACAUUGAGUCAGAUCUACAGUCUGGUGCUGCUGCAAAUUACAAGCUAUUAUGGGUGUUGAUGUGGGCAACAGUCCUUGGUUUGGUGAUGCAACGUCUCUCUGCUCGUUUAGGGACAGUAACAGGUUUACAUUUGGCAGAGGUAUGUUACCGUCAGUAUCCAAAAGUCCCACGCAUUCUUCUCUGGAUUAUGGUUGAGAUAGCAAUCAUUGGUUCUGAUAUGCAAGAAGUUAUUGGAACAUCAAUUGCUCUCUACCUGUUGUCAAAUAAAGCAAUUCCAUUGUGGGGAGGUGUCCUGAUAACGAUUGCCGACACUUUUACAUUCUUGGCUCUGGAUCGCUAUGGCUUGCGAAAGCUGGAAGCAUUCUUUGGCUUUCUCAUAUCAGUUAUGGCUCUAACAUUUGGUUAUGAAUAUGGUGUAACAAAACCUGACCAGUUGGAAGUCAUUAAAGGAUUGUUUAUUCCUGGUUGCUCAGGCUGUGACAGCAGAGCAUUGCUGCAAGCUGUUGGCAUUGUUGGUGCUGUCAUCAUGCCUCAUAAUCUGUACUUACAUUCAGCCCUAGUAAAGUCACGUGAAGUAGACCGGAAAAAGAAAGAGGAAGUGUAUGAAGCAAACAAGUACUUUUUUGUUGAGGCCUGUAUAGCACUCUUCUGUUCAUUCAUUAUUAACGUAUUUGUUGUGUCAGUAUUUGCCAAGGGUCUCUAUAACGUAACAAAUCAAGAUGUGAUUUACCAAGAUUACUGCUUCUCUGCUAUCAGUGGUGGUGAUUGCUAUUAAUAUAUGGUUUGUGGUAGAUUUCCUGAACAUCUACUUGAGCAAUCAGUGGUGGAUGUAUCUCAUCUUGGUUUUGUUGUCGCUCUUCUACUUUGGCCUGGUGUUCUAUCUGACUUUGUUCCUUCUCAUGGCAUUUGGCAUCAACUUCUGUUUUACCAUACCACUUUUGUGGCUAGUAGGAUUGGAUGGUAGUAGUCCUACUUUACAACCUAGCUUCGAAGGUUCUUAUCCAACCAUCUAGAUCAGCAGACAUAUAAAUUUGACAUAAGCGAGGAAAUAGACAGUAGAACAAGCCAACAAGAUAAUGGAAUGGAGAUGUCACCUUAGUUCUCUGAAUACAAAGAGAUAUCACCUUAAACAUCCUAUUGCUUGAGGGCUUUGGAGGAUUAUAUAGCAAAGAAAAUAAAGAAAAAAAUAAAGUGAUUUGUAUUCACUAUACUAGCUACCAUUUAAAAGCUUUUAUUCAUGCCAUACCAAGCCAAAUGCUGGGAGCUAUGUGCAGUCAGCUAUAAAAAUGAAAAAUUAGAAGCAUGAGAAGUAUGUUUUCCUCAGUCUAUGAGUUUGGCUGACCUGUCUAUGAUCUUUCAGCAAAUUAGAUGAAAAAGAGACUGCAUUAGAGGCAGUAUCACUUUCAGGGCCAAACAAGCAGACACCUGUUUAGCUUGAACAACAUAUAGGAGGAUUGACUACAGGUGGUACAGAAUACUUGGCACCCAGCAUCUUGGCUAAAUACAUCAUAGCAAAAGAUAUUAAAAGUAGAAGUUAAACUGGUAUUGGGAAAUUUUAGAACGCAAAAACAAGCAAAGAAUGGAAGUUCUAGAAUUUUAUUUUAUUUUAUUGAUAUGCCAAAUAUACAUCCAAAGUUUCUAACAGUGGCUGUGGGGGAAGGCUGAAGGUACUGUGUAAAUAGGGUGCUUACUCUGUCACACUCUCUACCCUCCAACCUUAGCACUCGGCCACCUGCAUGCAAAACACACAUUUAUUCCUCCCCUAAACCCGCACAUAAAUUAUUUUUUAUUCAUCAUUAGAUAAUCUAGAUUAUAACUAGUGAAUCACAAGAAUAAUGAUUAUAUUAUAUAACUCUGUGUGAACCUGAUUGAUAUGCAAAAUUGCCAUGAAAUAAUGAUUGUUCAUAUUAUGCAAAAAAAAAAAA
rnacentral:misc_RNA from 1 species